rnacentral:rRNA from 1 species
UACGAAGGGGGCUAGCGUUGCUCGGAUUGACUGGGCGUAAAGGGCGCGUAGGCGGUUUGUACAGUCAGGCGUGAAAUUCCUGGGCUCAACCUGGGGGCUGCGUUUGAUACGUGCAGACUUGAGUUCGGAAGAGGGUCGUGGAAUUCCCAGUGUAGAGGUGAAAUUCGUAGAUAUUGGGAAGAACACCGGUGGCGAAGGCGGCGACCUGGUCCGAUACUGACGCUGAGGCGCGAAAGCUAGGGGAGCAAACGGG